GGGGGAGGGGGACGGGAGAGAGGGAGAGAGGGAAAGAAGGACAUGGAAACUUACAGUGAAAUUUUCGUUGUUUAUAGCUUUCUUGGGGAAGAAAACACAUGCACAAAUCCUGGUGUAAGGAAUAUUUUAAGCAUAUAUCUUCAAUAUCAUUCAUCCAGGACCGAGCAAGACCAACACUCUUCCUCCUCCUCUGCCUACUCAAUGUGAAGACAAUGAGGAUGAACACCUUUAUGAUGCUCCACUUCCACUUAUUGAAUAAGUAGUCUCAUUGGCAGUGCCAAAAAAUUCCAGUCAAAUUAGAGUUGUACAGGAAUCAAAAAGAGAUUUAUCUUAAGGCAGAAGAAUGUGAAGAAUUGAGCAAAUAGAAAUGGAGAUUAUGCGAACUCAGUUGUGAAGCUAGAGAUGAACAAUACUUCAAAAGAAGAUCUUUAACCAUGCUAUAUCCUUCAGAAACCAGUUUUGUAUAUAUAUAUAUGCUUUUCAGGACAUGAUUUUUGUGAGUUUUGGUUUUGUUCUCUUUCUUUGUUUCAUGUUUCGUUAUUUAUAUGCCUUAAUUAAAGAACCUGGCUAGCCUCA
ensembl:lncRNA novel transcript